rnacentral:rRNA from 1 species
GAUGAACGCUAGCGGCAGGCCUAACACAUGCAAGUCGAGGGGCAUCAUGGCGUAGCAAUACGCUGAUGGCGACCGGCGCACGGGUGCGUAACGCGUAUGGAACCUACCCACCGCAGGGGGAUAACCCGCCGAAAGGCGGACUAAUACCCCAUGGUUCCCCGACCCUGCCUGGGGUUGGGGGUAAAGCCUACGGGCGGCGGUGGAUGGCCCUGCGUGCCAUUAGCUGGCUGGUGGGGUAACGGCCCACCAGGGCGACGAUGGCUAGGGGGUCUGAGAGGAUUAUCCCCCACACUGGUACUGAGACACGGACCAGACUCCUACGGGAGGCAGCAGUGAGGAAUAUUGGUCAAUGGACGCAAGUCUGAACCAGCCAUCCCGCGUGCAGGAAGACGGCCCUAUGGGUUGUAAACUGCUUUUCCAGGGAGAGAAACUUACGCACGUGUUGCGUGACUGACGGUACCCUGGGAAUAAGCAUCGGCUAACUCCGUGCCAGCAGCCGCGGUAAUCU